AGUGAACGCUGGCGGUAGGCCUAACACAUGCAAGUCGAACGGCAGCACAGUAAGAGCCUGCUCUUACGGGUGGCGAGUGGCGGACGGGUGAGGAAUACAUCGGAAUCUACUUUUUCGUGGGGGAUAACGUAGGGAAACUUACGCUAAUACCGCAUACUACCUACGGGUGAAAGCAGGGGAUCUUCGGACCUUGCGCGAUUGAAUGAGCCGAUGUCGGAUUAGCUAGUUGGCGGGGUAAAGGCCCACCAAGGCGACGAUCCGUAGCUGGUCUGAGAGGAUGAUCAGCCACACUGGAACUGAGACACGGUCCAGACUACUAAGGGAGGCAGCAGUGGGGAAUAUUGGACAAAGGGCGCAAGCCUGAUCCAGCCAUACCGCGUGGGUGAAGAAGGCCUUCGGGUUGUAAAGCCCUUUUGUUGGGAAAGAAAAGCAGCAGGUUAAUACCCCGCUGUUCUGACGGUACCCAAAGAAUAAGCACCGGCUAACUUCGUG
rnacentral:rRNA from 1 species